rnacentral:lncRNA from 1 species
GAGCCAACACACAAAUGUAAAAGACUAUUGGCUGAGCAAUGAAGAUAAAGCAACAAACAAGACAAAGUUCCUGCAACUGUGGAACUUCCAUAUGCGUGAAGAAAUGAGGCACUUGACAAGUAAUGACAUUUAUUUUCCCUUAUCUCCCUUAUAUGAAGCAGUGAGCCCAUUACUUUCCAAACAACUGGAGUUCUACCACACACACAUCAGGAUUUCUUAGCUAAAGAGAAAUGGAGUCUUUUCAGUGUGCCCUAAAGGAGGUGGUAAGGAACUGAACCGUAUAUUUUCACAUCUGGUUUGUAGCGUGUUGAAGUCCUAAGUGAAAAGAGCUGAGAGGCAGAGUAAGACAGCCAAAUAGAAAGCCCUACCUAUUGUUUCCCUGAGCAAGGACACCAAAUUAACAGCUAUCUAUAUGAAAAAAACACCUCCAUAAGAACCAAAAAAGAGGUGAGCACUCAUAGUACCUAGUAUUAACUUUACAUCGCUGAAAGAGGCACUGAAGAGACUGAAAAAACAGUCCUGGCCAGGAGUGGUGGCUCAUGCUUGUAAUCCCAGCACUUUGGGAGGCUGAGGCAAGCGGAUUACCUGAGGUCAGGAGUUCAAGACCAGCCUGGCCAGCGUGGUGAAACGCUAUCUCUACUAAAAAUACAAAAUUAGCCAGGUGUUUUGGCACAUGACUGUAAUCCCAGCUACUCAGGAGGCUGAGACAGGAAAAUCUCUUGAACCCAGGAGGGAGAAGUUGCAGUGAGCUGAGAUUGUGCCACUGCACUCCAGCCUGAGAGACAGAGCAAGACUCCAUCUCAAAAAAAAAAAAAGAAAAAGAAAAAAGAAAAAAAAGAAAAAAAAAGAAAACAGUCCUGAAUUGCAGAUGCCACCUCUCCCCACCCCAAGAGUAGCUGUGUGUUGUGGAAUGUAUCUCUGGGUGCUGGGGGAGGGAGAACACAGCAAUUGUGAGGCAUCGAACUCAAUGCUGCCCUGUUAAAGCAGAAAGGAAAACCCAACCACUCUCAGCUGACACCUUUCCACAGAGCAAGCAUUUAAACCAGCCCUAGCCAGAGGGGAAUCUCCCAUCCCAGCAGUCUCCACUUGAAUGCCUGCAAACCUCACCACCAAGAGCUGCAGCCACUCUGUGUCUCCAAGUAAACUUGAAAGGCAGUCUCCGCCAUAAUAGCUGAGACUCAUAGGCGAGUCCUAGGACUGAACUAGGU